rnacentral:rRNA from 1 species
GACGAACGCUGGCGGCGUGCUUAACACAUGCAAGUCGAACGGUUAAGCGCCUUCCGUUUUGGUGGGUGUGGAUGAGUGGCGAACGGGUGAGUAACACGUUAGUAACCUGCCCCCUUCUUCUGGAGAACCGCAUGAAAGUGUGGCUAAUACGGGUUAUUCUGGGUCUGUGGCAUGAUGGGUCUGGGAAAGAUCUUGUUUCGGUGGGGGAUGGGCGCGCGGCCUGUCAGGUUGUUGGUGGGGUGAUGGCCUACCAAGGCGGUGACGGGUAGCCGGCCUGGGAGGGUGGACGGUCCCAGAGGGGAGGAGAGACGGACAAGACUACGACGGGAGGCAGCAGGGGGGAAUAUUGCACAAUGGGCGGAAGGAUGAUGCAGCGACGCGGGGGGGGGGAAGGAGGUCUUAGGGUUGUGAACCUCUUUCGGGAGUGAAGCAGGGCUGCCUAGUAUGUGGGUGGGUUGACAGUAGCUGGAGAAGAAGCGCCGGCUAACUACGUG